CAUGUCUACCAUGCUCCCUCGCAGUUCCCACAAUCCCCAGCACAGCAUUAUACUGAUACAGCAUGGGGAUUGUGGGAACCGUGAGGGAGCAUGGUAGACAU